ACCGCCCUCUGCUGCAAGACACUUGCGCCCACCACACCUCUUUGAGGUAGUCUUUGGAACAUAACAAGUCAAAAAAUUCGAGAGGGGGCGCAACUCACCGGUGGCUGGCUGAAUCACACACUAACACAGAGGCUGUCCGGAGUCGUGCGGUGUAUGGGGCACGGACAGCUUUCUCUUGGAGUCAUCAGCAAGGCUCCCUACGCCAUUAAAGCAAGUCUUACAAUUAAAAAAAGUGCGCUUGACAAAAUGCGGAAGUGACGUUGAUGACUAGAGGCGGGAAAGAUGACCUUUUGGCUAAGGCUAACAACCCAAGGAAAUCGUGUUUCGCAAAUAUCAGCGGGGAUGUUUUUCUGUCUUUACGCCGUUGGAAGCCACCUCUUCGACAACUGGCAAAAAGAGUCGAUCUAAGUGGACCAUCUUAGUUUUGUUUGGGUUUUACCGCAGAACCUACAUUAUCUGAAAUCAACACAUCGUCACGGAGCCUGAAAAUGUCUCUUUUGAAGUCCAGAUUUUGUAUGAUUAAGAAGGCCCACCUGUGGUUGAAGUGGUCCACCAUCCAGACCGAGACCAAUGUGGACAAUUAAGGUCCCCCAUGGCCUCGUAGCUGGGGUUGGGUGGAACAAACUAGAGUUCAACUUGGAUCCAACUACCUGGAGUCGCUUUGGAUCCAGCACCACAAACAUCUCCUGUCCCGCAGACCCCAUAAAGACCCCGGGGAUCAAAUCCCCAUUCCUUGUCUUUAUUCUUAAAACAACAGAAUUGUUUUCUUUUGAGGUCCAGAAAUGUGUGUCGGUGGCUGAAGUGGUCCACCAGCCAAAAGAAAAACAAGGUGGACCACUUCAGAGCCACAUUUAUAUUGGACAUGGGGGAACGUUGGGGAAAGGAGAUCUUCAACCUGGCCGAAUUUACAUCAUCUUCGUUUGGAUCCAGAUAUGUGGAGACACUUGAAGAUUGGCGAUGGUUUAGUUUAUUCUAAAAAAAUGUAAAAAACGGCACACCCACGCUUGAAAGAAAGACGAAAUUGCAGUUGACAAGAGGCGGUAAAGACGACCGGCAAACGGACAUUCUACAAAAAUGUUUCGUCAGGCUUACCAAGUCGAGGUUUUCUGUGCUCACCGCCGUCGGAGGCCACCCAUUCCAAAAUUGGUGGGUUCAGAUGUCAAGUUAAAAGGUUCAGUCUUCAUAAAGGUGACAAAUGGAACCACAGACAGGGGUUUGGACAAGGACAUUAAAGGACUCGUCCUAAACAUCGAGUCUGACACCAUUUGAGUUUUGUCAGUUCCUCCUCUGCUGCAGUACAAAGUAGAGACGCUGAAUAGAUAAACGUCUUGUUGCUUCACUUAUGUGCUUCCAAACUCCGCCUUCCUGCAGCACCACAUACAUCUGUCACGCAGACCCCUUAUGAUCCAGCUACAUGGAGACACUGCGGAUCCAGAUGGAUCCGGAGGGUGUAUUUUACAGACGGGGAGUACUCAGAGGACGAGAUCUUCAAUGAUUUUUAAGCUCCCCCUCCCCCAGUGGGCCAAAUAGUAGAUCCUGAUGGCCCGCAGAGUCUGCUGGUUGUCUCUACCUGCUGGAUCAACCCCACCAACAGCUGCAUGAGAAGAAUGACUGUAAAGUCCCCCCCCCAACAAUGACUGCACAGAGGAAUCUGCCCCCACCAUUACACCAUUUCAGAGUCACCUCAUCAAGAACUGUUAUCAGAUCCAGGGAGAACGCUGGAAGAUCAACUGAUAGCAGAGAGUCGGGGCCAGGAUAAAGUAGCACAUGUCUUCAAAAUGAAUGGACCUGUUGGAUCAAACUGUUUCCUGUUGAAAGUAGAGUAGAUGUUUACAGAGUUCUGCAGGAUCAGGUUUUGGUUUCUGACAUUUUGCUUUGUUACAUUUUUUUUUUUAAAUUGACGUUGGGAUCUUAAUGUUUUUGUAUCGAGUGAUUUGUUGAAUGAUUUGCACUUCAGGGCCUCUGUAUUAUAUUCUUUAUUUCUGUCUGACAAACACAUUAAAACAAAGAAUUAUAAUAACAA